rnacentral:lncRNA from 1 species
GUCACUUUCCGGCCCACAAGCAUAAACGCCACCGGCAACGGGAGUUCCCAAAAUCGAAACAAAUGUUGGAAGAUAUUUUUAAGUUUCCACAUCUUUCUUACUUUUCUAUAUGAAAAUAAAAUUGGACUACACCAACAAAGGUUAUGUGUUUUGCACCAGAUUGAAAGCAUCAUAGCGAAAAACGGACCUGUCAUUUCUUUAAAUUUCCAAAAGAGCCCCUGGAAAAAGAAAAAUUAAUAUCUCUGCUAAGGAAUACUAAGGCAAAUGGAUAAAAAACCUUCAGUCCAUGCAUUGGUAUGUAAUUAAUAUAAUAUUGACAAAAAUACAAUGAAUGGCCUCACUACUUUUCCACAUGCAAAGAGGUUAACCAAGGAGAAAUUAAAGAAAUUGUCAGAAACCUAGGUAAAUACAGAAUUGCUUAGUACAAACUUAUCUAUACCCAGUACAAGUUUGUCCACUUCUUUGAAGCAUGGUACUUUAAACAGAGAAACUGUCAACGAUUUGGUAGAAGGUGAGCCCAUGUCAAAUUCCAGUAAGAGACAUGAUUUCAAUUUUGCACCAACAGCAGAGCCGAAAUUCAUUUUGCUUAUUAAGUUUUGCAAAUUAAGUUUUUCAUAUGAGCAUAUAAAAAAUAUUCAUAACAAAGUUCAGUUGUAUACAGGUUUGAUAUGUAAUAAAUAUUUUGUAACCUUAUUUAAUAAUAGUAAUCUUAUAAGUUAAUUAGUUUUAUACAUUAUUUAACUAAUAAUUGUAUAGUUCACAUAGAAUAGACAGAAAUUAUAUGUACAUAUAUAAAAAAUUUUAUUAAGAUAAGGAGAACAUGUAUUAAAGCAUAACA